AUGCUCAGGGCCCGUAUUCGAUAUCUAGUGUAUAAAUCUAUGACUGUAGAAUAGCUAUAUGACACCAUGAUCUUAGAAUAGAUUUAUAUUAGACUUUAUUCUGAUUUCACGACUCAGAAACAAGCAUUUUCUUGUAUUUCUAAUAAAUUAGGUUAUAAAAGUACUAGGCCUACUUAAAAGUAGUACAAAAAAAGUGUCCCUAAUUGAAGAAUCACCCAUACGUCUCAGUGCGGAGUCCAUUUAAACGCAAUGAAUGUGGAAAAGUAACUAUACGUUUUGUUAAUAAUGUAAUCAAAUGUGUGUCUAUUGAAUCUGACUUGCCUGUACCAAAUGGAAUUGGUUAAUACUGAAUGAAUGACGAUAUAUCUUUAUUUUAUGAUAAAGUUACUCGGUGUGCGGAAACGUAGUCAUCUUCAGAUUAACUCAAAUCACGUCUAGCCUGAUAAUAGUAUGUUCGAGAUUUCCCUCAAAACGAGACGUCGCAGUGGUUUGGAAACGAGAGGGGGAAAAACGAGAGGUGGAAAGGUGGUUUGGAUGAAGGGGGAAAUGAAGCACGUCGGACGCAUCGUCUCCCAGAUCAGAGACUGAAGGACUGAGAGAUCACGCCUCGAGUCCGCCUUGUGAUGCAGUCUCCAUGGCGACUACAGUUUCCCCGGGAAACAACAAUGAUGUUUGUCUACAGGAGUUUUCUGACAACACAUAUUAGGCUGAUUAGACAAACCGAGCCACACUUGUGACGUUCUCCAAAACAGCGAAGGCUACAGGAUUCAGAAGGCUUCAGGGAGAUCCACGCAGUGCCUACGACUGAUGACCAAUAGAAACGGACGCCGUUAACCUUUCUGCUAAACAAAACAGGAUUGAACUCACCUUCAAACAGCACAGAAGAUGCCCUCAUAUCUCUACUGCCACUUCCCAUUACCGUCUGGCUGAAUCACAGUGAGCCGCAGCACUCCAGAAGUGGCCUUUUUUGGGAGGGAGAGUAAAAAUCCUGCUGGUUCACAUUUAAUAAGAGGAAAGCAAUAUGAAGAGAACUGGACUACCGAACUGUCGGACAUGAGCUGAUCAUCUGCGAGACUGCACUGUAAAAAAUAUCUGUAAACUAAAAGUUUUCCAUAUUUUGUGAUUCAUGUUUUUAUUUUUCUUUGUUUAUUUAUUCUUUUGAAUUGCAUUAUGGGACCUUGAUCUUUCUUCUGACAACUUUUAACAUUGAAAUGUUUAAAAAAAUUACUUUAUUAACAUUUUUAAUAGUUUAACGUGAUAUAUUGUCUGGGUUGGUGUUGUAUAUUAAGGUACAAAAACAUUGUAAUAUACUGCCAGUACAUUUUCUGUUAUUUUACAGACUUAUUUCUGCAUAUAUUAUUUCUUAUAUGUUAUAUUAUUAUUUUAAACUACUAAAAUGUCAAUAAAAGUCACUUUGUUAAACUGUAGAGUAAAAUUUUCAACAUCAAAAGUCGACAGAGCAGAAAUCAAGGUCCCAUCCCAGCAGGCACAGAAUGCCAACAUGACGUCAUGACGUCAUUGAUGUUGUACCCCAACGUCAUGGGGCCGUUGCAUUUUGUUCGGAAAUGAAAAUCAGGUUGACGUAAGAACCCAACAUCUGGCCGACGUCAAUGUCCAACCAAAAAUCAACGUCUAAUGAUGUUACAGCUUGACGUUGUGUGGACUUUACCACUAUGACCUCUAUUAGACAUUGGAUUUUGGUUACCAUACUUGAUGAACAAAUGUCAGUAAUUGAUGUCAAUAUGACGUUGGUUUAAGAUGUUGGCUCGACGUUGGAUUGUGGUUACUUUCCAACACAACCUAAAAAUAAGCAAAAUAUCAACAUCUAAUGAUGUUACAGCUUGACGUGUGGAUGUUAACACUCUGACGUCUAUCAGACGUUGGAUUUUGGUUGCCAUCCCUGAUGAAUAAAUGUCAGUAUUUGACAUCAAUAUGACAUUGGUUUAAGAUGUUGGCUCAACGUUGGAUUUUGGUCACUUUCCAACACAACCUAAAAUCAACCAAAUAUCAGCGCCAUUUGAUGUUGUUAUUGAAUGUCAAAAUAACGUUGUCCUUAGACGCUGUCUAGACAUUGAAUUUUGGUCCCUUGACGUCAUGACCUUAAUCUAACCUAAUAUAAACAUCUUAUGACGUUGUGUGCCUGCUGAGAUAAUACAGUUCAAAUAAAUGGAAAACACUUGUGAACAGUACUGGAGCAAGCUGAACUGGCGCUCUAGGCAAACGAUGAUCAUGCCGCCCACACGGGUGUUUGGUGGUUAUGGUGUUAAGUGGCAAUGGUAUCUCAUGUUCGAAAGAGAAAAGAGGGGGGUAGGGAAAGGGGGGGAGGGGAAAGGUAGUAGCCGCCCCCAUGCGGCCCCCAGAAAAAGGUCGACCUGGGCGAUCGCCCAUAUUGCGCAUGCUUAAAUCUUGCCACUGCGUGUGAAUCACAAAUUAAGCAAACUGUUAAUGAACAGAUAUUUUUUUACAGUGUACAGUAACUGCCCUCUGCUAUCUGGCAGACGUUAUUCAAGCUGUUUUCUGGUGUCCAUCAUGUAUUUACAGUUUAGCUGUUGUCGUGCCAGAUGUGAGAAACUGUGUGAAAACUAAAUCUUUCUUGCAAAUCAGUCGGACAGGUUUCCUUUUCGUCUUAUGUUGCCUAUAAAAGCGUAUGACGGAU